rnacentral:lncRNA from 1 species
CCAUCACAGAUAUAGUACCAUCUAUGAAAAAUAUAGCUGAACAUGGUGUUGUACUCUUGUGUUCCCUGCUAGGGGAAAGGCUGAGGCUAAUGGAUAACUGAAGUUCCCAGCAUUCUGAGCUUUAGUAGAGCCAACAUGGUGAGCCCCAGGCAGUGGAGGGCCACCCAACUGCCUAAGGAGGGAGAAACCAGCUGAGGAACUAUGAUCUAUCAAGGAGAGCAGAUUCUGUGAUCAGAAGAAUCCUGGGUUUCCAAAGCUGCCUUCAUCACUUUCUCUCUUCUCUUGAGGCACCAAUAAAAUCAGUCAUCUCCUCAGCAAUAAGCAGAUACCUGAUGAAAUAG